rnacentral:rRNA from 1 species
UACGUAGGGUGCGAGCGUUGUCCGGAAUUAUUGGGCGUAAAGAGCUUGUAGGCGGUUUGUCGCGUCUGCCGUGAAAGCCCAGGGCUUAACCCUGGGUCUGCGGUGGGUACGGGCAGACUAGAGUUCGGUAGGGGAGUCGUGGAAUUCCUGGUGUAGCGGUGAAAUGCGCAGAUAUCAGGAAGAACACCCGUGGCGAAGGCGGCUCUCUGGUACGUGACUGACGCUGAGACGCGAAAGCGUGGGGAGCAAACAGG